rnacentral:tRNA from 1 species
GGGGAAGUAGCUCAGCGAUACACACAAACAAUGGUUCUUGCAGUGUAAUUAGUGUCAAAGGUUAGAGCGCCAAUUUUGGAAGGUCAGCGGUUCGAAUCCGUUCUUCUCCA